rnacentral:siRNA from 1 species
AGAGUGUUUGGAUGGAAUAAUU